CUUCAAAGUAAGACCAUUUUUUUUUUUCUUUUCCUAGUGCUAUGUUGGGUGUGACAACAGGCUGAAAAUGCCACCCAUCCUCUCUCAGACCACAAACAGAGCUGAAUCAGUGAGCCUAGACUAAUAAACAAGGGCGUAGACCAGAGGAGGAGACCAAGACGUGAUGAGCCCAGAGGAGGAAAAAGAAAGCAAGAAGAAAAAAGCACUGCAGCUUCUAGUGCAAGGGUGGAAGCACACGAGACCUGAUCUGGUUUUGAACAUUUGGAAGAACCUGUGUUGCCUUCCAGUUAAAUAGAUGUCUUACACAAUGUUAUCUGUCAACCACCAGAGGAGACAUCUUCAGAUUUUAUCGACAAAGUGUCUUCAGACCUAAACACCCUGGCACAAUUGUUAUCCUUGGCAGGGUGUUGACUGGGCAAUGGAAAACAAGCCGAGACACCCCAGCAGGGCGGGGCCAGCUGCCUCUGUGUCCUCUGCUCGUCCACAUCUAAACUGUCCUAGGGCAGUGUCCCAUGGGGGAGGCUAGCAGUUGUCCAGUGCUGCUUAUGACCAGGCGGAUGGUUCCUGUUUUUCCCUUACACUCAUCCAAAGGCCCUUGCUACAAACUCUGAAAUUGAGUUUUAGAAGAAGCAUCAAAGAAUCUCAAAAACAGAUGGUAUCUGACACCUAUCAGAUUCUACCCAAGGACAGAAUUAGAAUUUUCAGGAUUCUUUUAGUUAUGAAGUAGAGUUUAACCCAAGAUCACAAAAUAAGAACUAAUUACCUAGGGCUGAAAUAAUGAACUUGAUUGUGCUUAAUGUUUCAUUGUGAAUUACUCCUUAAGACAUCUUGAUCUCUCAGCUGAACAUUGAACACAUUUUCACUUGGAGACUUGUCCUAACUGAUCCCUAAGGUUUCAGAAAACUUUCUAUAAAGGCUCUUCUGAUAAGCUGUCAAGAAAACUCAAACAAUAAUGACUCAUCAUAAAAGAUGUCAUAUAUUGAUUGAUCUACUUAGAAAAGUAGUUAAA